GUGCGGCACCCAGAGGCCGUCCUGUAGCCGGGCCGGCUUGGGGCUUGGUUCUAUGUCCCUGCGGGUCGGUGCAAGGGCGAAGAGGAACCCGUGGGCCUCAGGGGAUCCCGGGGGGCCGGACCAGUGUUCCCUAGUUGUGGGAGCAGACGCGUGGGCACAUUGCGGGCGGGCAGGGCCUGAAGUGCAGAAGUUUAUACGAGACCUAGUUUCCAGGGAAGAACUCACUGAUUCCGCGAGGGAGAUGGCUUAAUGGAUGAUGGUCGUCAGCCUUAAGGAUACUUCAGUCUUAACUGUGUGUUACAAAGUUUGAAAGGGAGGGUUCCCUAUGAAUAAGAAGCACACUUGAAAGAACAGCCAUCUGGUCUAACCUCUCACUGGUGCUUCAGAGGAGGAAAAAAGGUCACAGCUAUGUUUCCAGUGUCCUCUGGGUGUUUCCAAGAGCAACAAGAAAUGAAUAAAUCUCUGUUGAAGAGAUACCAUUUGACAUUUUAGAGAUGGCUGCAUGCAAACUCUUGAAACAUUUGACUUGUCCAAAUGUUCCAUUGGUCCCUGUUCAUCCCGCCCUGCAGCUCUCCUUGACUGAUUCUGCCCUUUGUGGUUUGCAGUCCUGUUUCUCUACAGCUUGGACCCCUUCAAUCUUUCCAUCAUAGGUUUAACUCUCUGUUGAAUUCUUAUUUGUAGCUACGCAAAUGUUACCUUAAGCUAAAAAAAUUCAAAGUGAAAGCCACAUCCUCCUCUCUUCCCUUAUGUGUAUGGUAUUACUACCAUGCAGCCAGUGACCCAAAAUGGGAUUUUUUCUGGGCUUUUCUUGCUUAGAUUCAGGCUCAUCUGGUGUCAAGCCUUGUUACUUUUGUUUCCUUGUUCUUUUAUUUUUAAUUUUUUUUCUUUUGAGACAGAGUUUCACUCUUGUUGCCCAGG
rnacentral:lncRNA from 1 species